GUCCACGCCGUAAACGAUGAAUGCUAGCCGUUGGGCAGCUUGCUGUUCAGUGGCGCAGCUAACGCAUUAAGCAUUCCGCCUGGGGAGUACGGCCGCAAGGUUGAAACUCAAAGGAAUUUACGGGGGCCCCGCACAAGCGGUGGAGCAUGUGGUUUAAUUCGACGCAACGCGCAGAACCUUACCAUGGUUUGACAUCCUGCGACCGCUCCGUAAUGGGAGUUUUCCCGCAAGGGACGCAGAGACAGGUGCUGCAUGGCUGUCGU
rnacentral:rRNA from 1 species